rnacentral:rRNA from 1 species
CCUACGGGGGGCUGCAGUGGGGAAUAUUGCACAAUGGGCGGAACCCUGAUGCAGCGACGCCGCGUGGGUGAUGAAGUACUUCGGUAUGUAAAGCCCUAUUAGCAGGGAAGAAAAUUACGGUACCUGACUAAGAAGCUCUGGCCAACUACGAGCCAGCAGCCGCGGUAAUACGUAGGGGGCAAGCGUUAUCCGGAUUUACUGGGUGUAAAGGGAGCGUAGACGGCGUGACAAGUCUGAUGUGAAAGGCCGGGGCUCAACCCCGGAACUGCAUUGGAAACUGGCAUGCUGGAGUGCCGGAGGGGCAAGUGGAAUUCCUAGUGUAGCGGUGAAAUGCGUAGAUAUUAGGAGGAACACCGGUGGCGAAGGCGGCUUGCUGGACGGUAACUGACGUUGAUGCUCGAAAGCGUGGGGAGCAAACAGGAUUAGAUACCCCAGUAGUC